rnacentral:tRNA from 1 species
GCGGGCGUAGCUCAGCUGGCAGAGCGCGAGCCUUCCAAGCUCGAGGUCGCCGGUUCGAAACCGGUCGCCCGCU